rnacentral:rRNA from 1 species
UACGUAGGGGGCUAGCGUUGUCCGGAAUCAUUGGGCGUAAAGAGCGUGUAGGCGGUCCGGUAAGUCCGUUGUGAAAGUCAGGGGCUCAACCCUUGAAUGCCGGCGGAUACUGUCGGGCUAGAGUCCGGAAGAGGCAAGUGGAAUUCCUGGUGUAGCGGUGAAAUGCGCAGAUAUCAGGAGGAACACCGGUGGCGAAGGCGGUGGUCUGGGCCGGAACUGACGCUGAGGAGCGAAAGCGUGGGGAGCGAACAGG